UAGAUGUGAAAGAUUCCAUGGUGCUGGUUUGAAGAACAGAAGCUCAUCAAAGUAUUAAAAAGGAAGCAAGAUCUUCAAAACUACAUUGGUGCCAGAUAGAAAAAUUCUAUGUUCCCAGCACCCAGCUGUCUGACUGUGUGAAAUAUUUGCAACUUACAACUAACAUGAAAAGGAGUUCUAUUUGAAGUGCCCUACAAAUAUAUGCUGGCAGGACAAAAUCAAAGAUAGAGGUCCCAGUGUGUCAGCACAAGUCAAACAGAGAUGACUUCAGUGGAUUGACAUGCCCACAGGUUGAAUGGUAGUUGCAUACUCAAGGACCUUCUGAAUGGUAAGGUUGUUAGAGCCGGACAACAACUACAUUUCCCAAGACUCCAAGGAUUCUUGUAAAUAUAAUGUGAAGACCCUAACCACCACUAUUGCACUCGGGAAUCACCAGCUAAUGAAAAAGUGAAAUGGUACACCCUGUCCCCCUCCCACCCCCGUGGCUUGAAUUGCUCUACAAUGGUGACCAAUGCUUACUGCAGCUUGGUAGCAGGUGCCAACACUAAAAUUAACAGGCUAACAUGGCAGCUUCAUGUGUGGUAUUUGUGUCAGAACCUGCUGCUCGAGGAUUGAUCUCCUCAGUCAUUGAUAAAGGUGCACCAAGAGAAGACCCAAACCACCUAAAUUAAUAAUUUGAUGUAUGGCCAUCGUCGUUCAUAGAUGGAAGGAUAACAACUCAGUUUAACAGAAAGAAAAUGGGACUUUACUUCUUUAAAGUAUAAUGAUUUUUUUUUUAAGUUGUAAGUUACCACUUUCUCUCCUGCUCCAAUGGUGGCUUCCAAGUUUCAUCCAAACCAAGACAGCAAAUCAACAGACAAGGAGAUGGUAAGAACUGCCGAUGCUGGAGUCAGAAGUAACACAGUGUAGAGCUGAGGAGCACGCAGGCCAGGCAGCAUCAGAGGAGCAGGAAACUUGACGUUUCAUGUUGGGACCCUUUCCCAACCCAAAACGUCAACUUUCCUGCCCCUCUGAUGCUACCUGGCCCGCUGUGCUCCUUCAGCUCCACACUGUGUUAUCUCUAAAUCAACAGACAAGAUGCCCCAAGGGUUAGUUUUUGUGACUUCAUACCACACACUAAAUGAUGCAUAAAACAGAUGAAAGCUCACUUGAUCUUUGAUCCUUCUCUUUCUCCCUACAGGGCAUACUUACUGUCAAUGCAGCACCUAUACAAACUGAGAUUGUAAAUGCCUUAAAAGAAUUGCAAGUUGAAAACAUGAAUCCUCCCACUCUGUGGUACACAGCAGAAAAUCAUCAAUUGCUUCAUCACUUUUUUUUUAUGUUCCUGAUCAGUUAGCUCCAAUAAACUCCAUUUCUGCUGUGUA